rnacentral:lncRNA from 1 species
GCCCAGUUACAAACACUACCAGGGGAUAAUCCAUAAUUACCCCCAACUUAGCCUGGUAAACUUGUUGUCUCCUUGUGAAAUAUAAAACAUAUUAAAAAAUGAUUUCCUGCUUAAGUCUUUUAUUGAUAUAAAGUCAAAACCUUCUUGCUUUUCACUAGACAACCAUGUCAUGUCAGGUUUAAUUCUUAUAUAUGUAGAUAAAAAAAAUAAAAGUCCCCAAAACAUUAACAUGGCAGCAAUUGCUUUUACAGCCUUUAAGGCUUUGAUUUUUUUACAGAAGAGUGUCCACCAUGCACUUGCACUGCACUAUAAUAAUAGUAGAAUAGAAUUAUCAUAUACAAAUAGAUGAAAAUUAUAUAUACAUGCAAUCGUAAUAUUAAUAAUAUAUAUAACAACAAACCAG